rnacentral:rRNA from 1 species
AUUAAACGCUGGCGGCAUGCCUUACACAUGCAAGUCGAACGGCAGCACGGGGGCAACCCUGGUGGCGAGUGGCGGACGGGUGAGUAAUGCAUCGGAACGUGCCCUGAAGUGGGGGAUAACGCAGCGAAAGCUACGCUAAUACCGCAUAUUCUGUGAGCAGGAAAGCAGGGGAUCGCAAGACCUUGCGCUUUGGGAGCGGCCGAUGUCGGAUUAGCUAGUUGGUGGGGUAAAGGCCUACCAAGGCGACGAUCCGUAGCGGGUCUGAGAGGAUGAUCCGCCACACUGGGACUGAGACACGGCCCAGACUCCUACGGGAGGCAGCAGUGGGGAAUUUUUGGACAAUGGGCGGAAGCCUGAUCCAGCCAUGCCGCGUGAGUGAAGAAGGCCUCGGGUUGU